rnacentral:rRNA from 1 species
CCUACGGGAGGCAGCAGUGAGGAAUAUUGGUCAAUGGACGAGAGUCUGAACCAGCCAAGCAGCGUGAAGGAUGACUGCCCUAUGGGUUGUAAACUUCUUUUAUAAAGGAAUAAAACGAGGCACGUGUGCCUUUUUGCAUGUACUUUAUGAAUAAGGAUCGGCUAACUCCGUGCCAGCAGCCGCGGUAAUACGGAGGAUCCGAGCGUUAUCCGGAUUUAUUGGGUUUAAAGGGAGCGUAGAUGGGUUGUUAAGUUAGUUGUGAAAGUUUGUGGCUCAACCGUAAAAUUGCAAUUGAUACUGGCAGUCUAGAGUACAGUUGAGGUAGGCGGAAUUCGUGGUGUAGCGGUGAAAUGCUUAGAUAUCACGAAGAACCCCGAUUGCGAAGGCAGCUUACUAAACUGUGACUGACAUUGAUGCUCGAAAGUGUGGGUAUCAAACAGGAUUAGAUACCCUAGUAGUC